AUGCUAGAAAGAUUAUCCAAACAUACACAUUUUUGCUUUCUAGAUGGUUACUCUGGUUUCUCUCAAAUACCUGUGUCAACUGAGGAUCAAGAAAAGACCACUUUUACUUGCCCUUUCGGUACUUUUGCUUACAGACGUAUGCCUUUUGGUUUAUGUAAUGCACCUGCUACCUUUCAAAGAUGCAUGAUGGCUAUAUUCUCUGACUUCUGUGAAAAGAUUUGUGAGGUUUUCAUGGAUGAUUUCUCCGUUUAUGGAUCCUCUUUUGAAGAUUGCUUGAGCAACCUUGAUCGAGUUUUGCAGAGAUGUGAAGAAACUAAUCUUGUCUUAAAUUGGGAGAAAUGCCACUUUAUGGUUAACGAAGGCAUUGUCUUGGGGCAUAAAUUUUUUGAAAGAGGUAUUGAAGUUGAUAAAGCUAAAUUUGAU
rnacentral:rRNA from 1 species